CACGUGAGCAACCUGCCCGACAACCCGGGAUAACAGCGGGAAACCGUUGCUAAUACCGGAUACUCCAGUUUUAACGCAUGUUAGAACUGGGAAAGGGUUUACCGAUGUCGGAUGGGCUCGCGACCCAUUAGCUUGUUGGUGGGGUAACGGCCUACCAAGGCUGCGAUGGGUAGCUGGUCUGAGAGGACGAUCAGCCACACUGGAACUGAGACACGGUCCAGACUCCUACGGGAGGCAGCAGUGGGGAAUAUUGCACAAUGGGCGAAAGCCUGAUGCAGCGACGCCGCGUGGAGGAUGAAGGCCUUCGGGUCGUAAACUCCCGUCUGGGGGGAUGAAUUUUGACAGUACCCCCGGAGGAAGCCCCGGCUAACUACGUG
rnacentral:rRNA from 1 species